AUUGAACGCUGGCGGCAGGCCUAACACAUGCAAGUCGAGCGGUAGAGAGAAGCUUGCUUCUCUUGAGAGCGGCGGACGGGUGAGUAAUGCCUAGGAAUCUGCCUGGUAGUGGGGGAUAACGUUCGGAAACGGACGCUAAUACCGCAUACGUCCUACGGGAGAAAGCAGGGGACCUUUGGGCCUUGCGCUAUCAGAUGAGCCUAGGUCGGAUUAGCUAGUUGGUGGGGUAAUGGCUCACCAAGGCGACGAUCCGUAACUGGUCUGAGAGGAUGAUCAGUCACACUGGAACUGAGGCACGGUCCAGACUCCUACGGGAGGCAGCAGUGGGGAAUAUUGGACAAUGGGCGAAAGCCUGAUCCAGCCAUGCCGCGUGUGUGAAGAAGGUCUUCGGAUUGUAAAGCACUUUAAGUUGGGAGGAAGGGCAGUUGCCUAAUACGUAACUGUUUUGACGUUACCGACAGAAUAAGCACCGGCUAACUCUGUG
rnacentral:rRNA from 1 species